rnacentral:rRNA from 1 species
GACGAACGCUGGCGGCGUGCUUAACACAUGCAAGUCGAACGAAGUGGCGAACGGGUGAGUAACGCGUAAUCAACCUGCCCUUCAGAGGGGGACAACAGUUGGAAACGACUGCUAAUACCGCAUACUGAAGGAGGGGAUUGCGUCUGAUUAGCUAGUUGGAGGGGUAACGGCCCACCAAGGCGAUGAGCAGUAGCCGGGCUGAGAGGCAGGACGGCCACAUUGGGACUGGUACACGGCCCAGACUCCUACGGGAGGCAGCAGUUGGGAAACUUCCGCAAUGGACGACAGUCUGACGGAGCAACGCCGGGUGAUUGAUGACGGCCUUCGGGUUGUAAAGCUCUGUUAAUCGGGACGCGGUACCGGAAUAGAAAGCCACGGCUAACUACGUGCCAGCAGCCGCGGUAAUAC